rnacentral:sRNA from 1 species
UGACAGGACAUGCUAUUCCGUAUUUAUAGUACUCUGCGUGUAGGGCACUCCUCUAGGGCUUUGACGAGCCUACCCUCUUGACUUAACAUUCUGCUUAGGCCUUUGAUUUGGAUUUGGGCUUUGGGCCAAGCAAGCCCAAAUCUAACCCCUAACAAAUUCU